UCUCAAAGGUGUGUGUAAAGGCCAGUUGUUAGUGGCAGUUUGUAGAGAUGGAAACAACCAAAUGCUCCCUAUUGCUUGGGCAGUUGUUGAGGUUGAGAAUCAGUAUACCUGGACAUGAUUUCUUGAACUAGUGAAGAAUGAUCUUGAACUUGGAGAAGGGCAUCAACUAUCCAUCAUUAGUGAUAUGCAAAAGGGACUAGAAAUUGCUGUGGAUACUUUAUUGCCACUUGUUGAACAUAGAAAAUGUGCAAGACAUGUUCUUGCAAAUUGGUCAAAAAAUUGGAAA